rnacentral:rRNA from 1 species
UAAAGCGGAAGCGUGAUGCGGAGGGGUUACGACCCCGAAGGGAUUGAUCCCAUGCUGCCAAGAAAAUCCUCUAGAGAGAUUAUGAGUGCUCGUACCGCAAACCGACACAGGUGAUCAGGUAGAGAAUACCGAGGUGCGCGAGAUAACCCUCGUUAAGGAACUCGGCAAAAUAACCCCGUAACUUCGGGAGAAGGGGUGCCACUGUAGUGUGAAAGGGAGAGAUACCCUGAGCAUGACGUGGCCGCAACGGAGAGGCUCUGGCGACUGUUUAACAAAAACACAGGUCUGUGCUAAGCCGUAAGGCGACGUAUACGGGCUGACUCCUGCCCAGUGCCGGAAGGUUAAGAGGAGAGGUUAGGGCGCAAGCUCGAAGCUUUGAAUUGAAGCCCCGGUGAACGGCGGCCGUAACUAUAACGGUCCUAAGGUAGCGAAAUUCCUUGUCGGGUAAGUUCCGACCCGCACGAAUGGAGUAACGAUCAGAGCGCUGUCUCGACGAGGGGCUCGGCGAAAUUGGAGUAUCUGUGAAGAUACGGAUUACCCAUACCAGGACAGAAAGACCCCAUGGAGCUUUACUGUAGCUUGUCAUUGGAUGCCGGUUGUGGUUGUGCAGGAUAGGUGGGAGGCUAUGAAACCAGCUCGUUAGGGCUGGUGGAGCCAACGGUGAGAUACCACUCUACUAUAACUGGCGUUCUAACCGAGAACCGUUAUCCGGGCUUGGAACAGUGGCUGGUAGGCAGUUUGACUGGGGCGGUCGCCUCCUAAAGAGUAACGGAGGCGCCCAAAGGUUCCCUCAGGUUGGUUGGAAAUCAACCGUGGCGUGUAAAGGCGUAAGGGAGCUUGACUGCGAGACCUACAAGUCGAGCAGGUACGAAAGUAGGGCUUAGUGAUCCGACGGCUGCGAAUGGAAGUGCCGUCGCUCAACGGACAAAAGUUACCCUGGGGAUAACAGGCUGAUCUCCCCCAAGACUCCACAUCGACGGGGAGGUUUGGCACCUCGAUGUCGGCUCGUCGCAACCUGGGGCGGUAGUACGUCCCAAGGGUUGGGCUGUUCGCCCAUUAAAGCGGUACGUGAGCUGGGUUCAGAACGUCGUGAGACAGUUCGGUCCAUAUCCGGUAUGGGCGUAGGAGAAUUGACAGGAGCCAUCCCUAGUACGAGAGGACCGGGAUGGACCGACCGCUGGUGUACCGGUGGUCCCGCCAGGGGCCAACGCCGGGUAGCCAUGUCGGGAGCGGAUAAGCGCUGAAAGCAUCUAAGUGCGAAGCCCACCUGAAGAUGAGUUCUCCCAUGCGGUCAACGCAGUAAGACCCCUGCAAGAUAAGCAGGUUGAUAGGCGGUAGGUGGAAGGCCAGUAAUGGUUGCAGCCGAGCCGUACUAAUCGGUCGAGGGUUUAAC